rnacentral:rRNA from 1 species
GCCUACAACAUAUCAUUAAUACACCGGAUCCCAUUAGAACUUUGUAGCUAAGCACGCUCAAGCUAGAGUAGUACUAGGAUGGGUGACCGCUCGGGAAGUCUUAUUGUUUUAUAUGCC